GUGAAAGUUAGGGCCUCGAGUAAUGGCCUUUUGUGCUGCUCUAGUAUCCCUGAUAAGGGUGUUUACUAUGUUUGCAAUCCAAUGACUAGAGAAUCUAAGUUGCNNNNNNNNNGAAAGGCCUGUGACUAGGUUUUAUCCUGAUGGUGAGGCCACUCUAGUUGGUUUGGCUUGCAAUUUAUCAAUGCAAAAGUUUAAUGUUGUUUUAGCCGGUUAUCAUCGAACAUUUGGUCAUAGGCCAGAUGGGACAUUUUUAUGUUUGGUAUUUGAUUCAGAUUUGAAUAAAUGGAGGAAGUUUGUUUCUUUUCAAGAUGAUCAUUUUACCCAUAUGAAUAGGAACCAGGUUGUGUU
rnacentral:misc_RNA from 1 species